UGGAACUUUUUAUGUCUUUUCUUUCAAGGUCAGUGUCAGCUCCUGACUCUUGCGUAUUUGUAGAGCACAGUAAUUCUGCAAGGGAGAAAAGGUGAUAAUCUGGUGUUGAAAUGAGGGACACAGUGUCUCUUUUAAAUAUCUUUAGCAUAGGAUCCCAGUGAGCAGAAUGACAAUGAUUGACCCUCAGGCUCCAUCCAGUAUCUGAAUGCUUGCAGAGAACAAUGACAUAGACAAGAUGAAUUCUUCCUGGGGUGGGUGUACACUGUUUCGGUAUUAGAAUUCUGUCUUCUCUGGUUUUAGACUCCCAGAAUCACAUCAAUAAUCACCAGGUUGUCAAGCUUUUGGCCUCAGGUUCAAUGUCUCUCAUUGACCUUCCUGGUUCCCACCUUGCAGAAGGCCUCUUGUGGACUUUCCUGCUUCUAUAUUCAAGGGCUUUUCAUACUACUUCCCCUUAUGAAUCCAUUCUUAUAUGUCUCUCUGUGGAUCCUUUCAGUUGUCUUCCUGUGGAGAGCCCUCACGGAACCACUGGUGUUGAUGGGCAUUUGCUCACGUUUUUCUUCACAGCAUUCUCCUCACUUAAUUUUCCAGUCAUUGACUUUCAUUUUGAAAUUUAAUACAUGAGAGAAGAAUGCCAGAGAGCCGAAGAGAGUCUUACAUAUCAUCGACUGUAUGUUUUGGUCCAGUGAUAACUGUUACAUUUCAGUUUUAAACAAAGGGUUCUUUUGCAAAUUCUUUGUCUCAUCAAUAAAAUAAUUGAAAAAUAAUUCCUGAAAGAUGCAGGACAAUUUUAAACUUGUAAAAAUUUUUUGUUACUAUUGUGUAUCCAUGCUGCUUCAGGCACUAUGACAGGGAACAGAACAACUUUGUGGAGUGAGAUCUUUUCUUCUACCCUUAAACUCUCAGGGUCAAUGAUUUUUAUACUCUAAGCUAUUUUGCCUUCUUCCUGUGGACAAUUUUAAUAGAGUUUGAUGGCAAAACAGUAAGGCAGACAAACUGGUGAUUUGGGCAUCUUCUAGGAAGAUUCUAAAUAAUAGGAACCGAGAAGCCCAUCCUUCUUAAAUUAGAGGUUAAGAAAUUAGGCAGGUUCAAUGGUGAAUUCUGCAAUAGUUGCAGUGGGUGGUAUAGCGGUCUGUUUUCACAGACAUUAAGUACUUGGUGUGUCAGGCUAAUCAGGCUUAGGAUUUUGUCUCCUAUCCUAGAAAAAGAUGUUGUUAAUAGGGAAAAGGUAAAAUGUUAGUAUUGCUUAAGACUUCUAGGUGUGUUAGCUAAGAGAACUCUUCAGCUUAAGUCUGAUGUAAUAAAACUAGAAGAGAGCCUUAUAACACUGAAGAACCUGCAGUAGGUUCAAGGAAUGCCAUUGAGUAGAAAAGCAUAAAUCUCGGAAUAAGGUAAGCCUCACUCUAGGUUCUGACUCAUUUACUUAGCACUAAUAUUAGCAAGUAUUUAUCGAUUACUUAAACAAAGUGUGCCAAGUGCUUUCAGAUAAUUAUCUCAUGUAAUUUCCUUAAUGUAUUUGUUACAGAUACUAUUCUUAUUUUUAUGUUCAAAGCAAGGAUGCUGAGGAUUAGAGAUACUAAAGCUAAAUGACACAUCCUGCAUACAUGCGAACUGUCACAGUGAGGUGAGGUGGAAGCAGAUGUGCCCUGGAUAAAGUAAAUGAGAUCCUGGUGUGCUCCUUACAUCACAGACAUUGCAAUUACUGGCAAUGAGUUCGUGUGUAGCUGCGUGAGCCCUCGGACUUCAGACGAAUUCUACCCUCUUACCAUAUGAAUGCUGGGAGAAUAUCAUUUCGAAUGUUUGAUCUUGUGCUUAGGAAGGUCCUGCAUCCACCACUAUAUAUAAUAUGAAACUGACAAUUCAGCUUGGCACUCAAGCCCUCAGGCUACCUGGUGAACAGUGGGUGAAUAGUGACUAGAAUUACUUUCAAGGCUGGUCCAUUUUGCUAUGUUGCUCCCUGUAUAUUUUAAAACUCCUCUGAAUGUGUUGUGGACUUCUUCAUAGCUGAUUCAUUGAAUUGUGAGGAUUCAAUUGGAAAAGACUUGCAAAGUACAAAGGAAUGGUAACUAUUAUUCUUUUCUUCUUUU
rnacentral:sRNA from 1 species